rnacentral:rRNA from 1 species
GAUGAACGCUAGCGAUAGGCUUAACACAUGCAAGUCGAGGGGCAUCACGAAUUAGCAAUAGUUUGGUGGCGACCGGCGCACGGGUGCGUAACACGUAUACAACCUACCUUCAAUUGGGGGAUAACCUGGAGAAAUUCGGACUUAAUACCCCAUAGUAAACAGAAGAGGCAUCUUUUUUGUUUCAAAGAUUUAUUGAUUGGAGAUGGGUAUGCGUAGGAUUAGCUAGUUGGUAAGGUAACGGCUUACCAAGGCGACGAUCCUUAGGGGUUCUGAGAGGAAGGUCCCCCACACUGGUACUGAGACACGGACCAGACUCCUACGGGAGGCAGCAGUGAGGAAUAUUGGUCAAUGGUCGAGAGACUGAACCAGCCAAGUCGCGUGAAGGAAGACGGCUCUAUGAGUUGUAAACUUCUUUUGUACAGGAGUAAAGUGAGACACGCGUGUUUUAUUGCAAGUACUGUACGAAUAAGCAUCGGCUAA